rnacentral:rRNA from 1 species
GAUGAACGCUAGCGACAGGCUUAACACAUGCAAGUCGAGGGGCAGCACGGGAGUAGCAAUACAACUGGUGGCGACCGGCGCACGGGUGAGUAACGCGUAUGCAACCUACCUAUCAGAGGGAACUAACCCGGCGAAAGUCGGACUAAUACCGCAUAAAACAGGGGCACCGCAUGGUGAUAUUUGUUAAAGAAAUUCGCUGAUAGAUGGGCAUGCGUUCCAUUAGGUAGUUGGUGAGGUAACGGCUCACCAAGCCGACGAUGGAUAGGGGAACUGAGAGGUUGGUCCCCCACACUGGUACUGAGACACGGACCAGACUCCUACGGGAGGCAGCAGUGAGGAAUAUUGGUCAAUGGGCGGGAGCCUGAACCAGCCAAGUCGCGUGAAGGAAGAAGGAUCUAUGGUUCGUAAACUUCUUUUGCAGGGGAAUAAAGUGCAGGACGUGUCCUGUUUUGUAUGUACCCUGAGAAUAAGGAUCGGCUAACUCCGUG